rnacentral:rRNA from 2 species
UACGGAGGGAGCUAGCGUUGUUCGGAAUUACUGGGCGUAAAGCGCGCGUAGGCGGCGAACCAAGUCAGGGGUGAAAUCCCGGGGCUCAACCCCGGAACUGCCCUUGAAACUAGUUUGCUAGAAUCUUGGAGAGGUCAGUGGAAUUCCGAGUGUAGAGGUGAAAUUCGUAGAUAUUCGGAAGAACACCAGUGGCGAAGGCGACUGACUGGACAAGUAUUGACGCUGAGGUGCGAAAGCGUGGGGAGCAAACAGG